AUACUCUGGUUUCUCUUCAGAUCGUAUCUUUCACCUUUCACUAAAGAUUUCUGUGGAGAGGAACAAGUAUGAGUAUCGAUUAAUUUUUUUGAGUCUUGCAUCUGGGUAGGAA
rfam:Columba livia unplaced genomic scaffold scaffold1, whole genome shotgun sequence.